rnacentral:rRNA from 1 species
GACGAACCGUCCAAACGUUAUUCGGAAUCACUGGGCUUAAAGGGUGCGUAGGCGGCGCGGAAAGUUGGGUGUGAAAUCCCUCGGCUCAACCGAGGAACUGCGCCCAAAACUACCGUGCUCGAGGGAGAUAGAGGUGAGCGGAACUUAGGGUGGAGCGGUGAAAUGCGUUGAUAUCCUAAGGAACACCGGUGGCGAAAGCGGCUCACUGGAUCUCUUCUGACGCUGAGGCACGAAAGCUAGGGUAGCGAAC